UACGAAGGGGGCUAGCGUUGCUCGGAAUUACUGGGCGUAAAGCGCACGUAGGCGGAUCUUUAAGUCAGGGGUGAAAUCCUGGAGCUCAACUCCAGAACUGCCUUUGAUACUGGCGAUCUCGAGUCCGGGAGAGGUGAGUGGAACUGCGAGUGUAGAGGUGAAAUUCGUAGAUAUUCGCAAGAACACCAGUGGCGAAGGCGGCUCACUGGCCCGGUACUGACGCUGAGGUGCGAAAGCGUGGGGAGCAAUCAGG
rnacentral:rRNA from 1 species